AGUGAACGCUGGCGGUAGGCCUAACACAUGCAAGUCGAACGGCAGCACAGUAAGAGCUUGCUCUUACGGGUGGCGAGUGGCGGACGGGUGAGGAAUACAUCGGAAUCUACUUUUUCGUGGGGGAUAACGUAGGGAAACUUACGCUAAUACCGCAUACGACCUACGGGUGAAAGCAGGGGAUCUUCGGACCUUGCGCGAUUGAAUGAGCCGAUGUCGGAUUAGCUAGUUGGCGGGGUAAAGGCCCACCAAGGCGACGAUCCGUAGCUGGUCUGAGAGGAUGAUCAGCCACACUGGAACUGAGACACGGUCCAGACUCCUACGGGAGGAAGCAGUGGGGAAUAUUGGAAAAUGGGCGCAAGCCUGAUCCAGCCAUACCGCGUGGGUGAAGAAGGCCUUCGGGUUGUAAAGCCCUUUUGUUGGGAAAGAAAAGCAGAAGGUUAAUAACCCGCUGUUCUGACGGUACCAAAAGAAUAAGAACCGGCUAACUUCGUG
rnacentral:rRNA from 1 species